rnacentral:rRNA from 1 species
UACGAAGGGGGCUAGCGUUGCUCGGAAUGACUGGGCGUAAAGGGCGCGUAGGCGGUUUGCACAGUCAGGCGUGAAAUUCCUGGGCUUAACCUGGGGGCUGCGCUUGAUACGUGUGGACUGGAGUGCGGAAGAGGGUCGUGGAAUUCCCAGUGUAGAGGUGAAAUUCGUAGAUAUUGGGAAGAACACCUGCGGCGAAGGCGGGUAGCUGGGCCGACACUGACGCUGAGGCGCGAAAGCCAGGGGAGCGAACGGG